rnacentral:rRNA from 1 species
GAUGAACGCUGGCGGCGUGCCUAAUACAUGCAAGUCGAGCGAACGGACGAGGAGCUUGCUUCUCUGACGUUAGCGGCGGACGGGUGAGUAACACGUGGAUAACCUACCUAUAAGACUGGGAUAACUUCGGGAAACCGGAGCUAAUACCGGAUGAUAUUUUGAACCGCAUGGUUCAAUAGUGAAAGACGGUUUUGCUGUCACUUAUAGAUGGAUCCGCGCUGCAUUAGCUAGUUGGUAAGGUAACGGCUUACCAAGGCAACGAUGCGUAGCCGACCUGAGAGGGUGAUCGGCCACACUGGAACUGAGACACGGUCCAGACUCCUACGGGAGGCAGCAGUAGGGAAUCUUCCGCAAUGGGCGAAAGCCUGACGGAGCAACGCCGCGUGAGUGAUGAAGGUCUUCGGAUCGUAAAACUCUGUUAUUAGGGAAGAACAUAUGUGUAAGUAACUGUGCACAUCUUGACGGUACCUAAUCAGAAAGCCACGGCUAACUACGUG